rnacentral:rRNA from 1 species
AUACAUAGCCAUUCCUUGAAAAUGCCUGAUCUUGUCUGAGCUCAGAAGUUAAGCAGGGUUGGGCCUGGCUAGUACUGAGGUGGGAGUCAGCAAGGAAUACCAUGUGCUCUAGCUC